GUGGGCGUGGCCAAGCGGUAAGGCGCCAGACUGUGGAUCUGGAGAUCGCGGGUUCAAAUCCCGUCGCCCACCCCA
rnacentral:tRNA from 1 species